GGCCAGCAUCAGUUUGGGUGGCAGGAUAAGUGCGUAGGAAAGUGGCUCCACCUCGGUGGAGUGUUAUAGCCUGCGUCGAUACUGCCUGCCUAGACUGAGGCUGCGUCUUUGACUAGGAUGCUGGCAUAAU
rnacentral:rRNA from 1 species